UACCUACGGGACGCAGCAGUGGGGAAUAUUGGGCAAUGGGCGCAAGCCUGACCCAGCAACGCCGCGUGAAGGAAGAAGGCUUUCGGGUUGUAAACUUCUUUUAAGAGGGAAGAGCAGAAGACGGUACCUCUUGAAUAAGCCACGGCUAACUACGUGCCAGCAGCCGCGGUAAUACGUAGGUGGCAAGCGUUGUCCGGAUUUACUGGGUGUAAAGGGCGUGCAGCCGGGCUGACAAGUCAGAUGUGAAAUCCCGCGGCCCAACCGCGGAACUGCAUUUGAAACUGUUAGUCUUGAGUACCGGAGAG
rnacentral:rRNA from 1 species